rnacentral:hammerhead_ribozyme from 1 species
GUUCAGCUGAUGAGUCCUAAAUAGGACGAAACGCGCGUCCUGAAU